rnacentral:misc_RNA from 1 species
GUGAAUCAUCAAAUCUUUGAACGCAAAUUGCACUCUCCGGUUUUCUGGGAGAGUAUGCCUGUUUGAGGGUCAGCCUAAAAAAAAUCGCCACUGUUGCUGUUAUCUAAUGGUGACUCUCGUCGGAGAUUGGGAUAUCUUAAACCUUUUUUUUUUUUUUGGUUUAAGAGACUUAAACUUUUUCCUCACGAUCCCAUGAACGUUUC